UACGUAGGGGGCUAGCGUUGUCCGGAUUUAUUGGGCGUAAAGAGCGUGUAGGCGGCCAGGUAGGUCUGCUGUGAAAACUCGAGGCUCAACCUCGAGACGUCGGCGGAAACCAUCUGGCUAGAGUCCGGAAGAGGAGAGUGGAAUUCCUGGUGUAUCGGUGAAAUGCGCAGAUAUCAGGAAGAACACCCGUGGCGAAGGCGGCUCUCUGGGACGGUACUGACGCUGAGACGCGAAAGCGUGGGGAGCGAACAGG
rnacentral:rRNA from 1 species